UCUGCAGCUCAGUUGGUCAGAGUGCUGCACUGGAACCACAGGGCCACAGGUUCGAGUCCAGCAAGAG